GAUGAACGCUGGCGGCGUGCUUAACACAUGCAAGUCGAGCGAGUGAGUUCUUCGGAACGAUCUAGCGGCGGACGGGUGAGUAACACGUGGGCAACCUGCCUCAUAGAGGGGGAUAGCCUCCUGAAAGGGAGAUUAAUACCGCAUAAAAUUAUCGAGUGGCAUCACAUGAUAAUCAAAGGAGUAAUCCGCUAUGAGAUGGGCCCGCGGCGCAUUAGCUAGUUGGUGAGGUAACGGCUCACCAAGGCGACGAUGCGUAGCCGACCUGAGAGGGUGAUCGGCCACAUUGGGACUGAGACACGGCCCAGACUCCUACGGGAGGCAGCAGUGGGGAAUAUUGCACAAUGGGGGAAACCCUGAUGCAGCAACGCCGCGUGAGGGAUGACGGCCUUCGGGUUGUAAACCUCUUUCAGCACCGACGAAGCGCAAGUGACGGUAGGUGCAGAAGAAGGACCGGCCAACUACGUGCCAGCAGCCGCCGUAA
rnacentral:rRNA from 1 species